rnacentral:rRNA from 1 species
CGUAGGGGGCAAGCGUUGUCCGGAUUUACUGGGGCGUAAAGAGCGUGUAGGCGGCCAAACAGGUCCGUUGUGAAAACUGGAGGCUCAACCUCCAGACGUCGACGGAAACCGUGUGGCUUAGAGUCCGGAAGAGGAGAGUGGAAUUCCUGGUGUAGCGGUGAAAUGCGCAGAUAUCAGGAAGAACACCAAUGGCGAAGGCAGCUCUCUGGGACGGUACUGACGCUGAGACGCGAAAGCGUGGGGAGCGAACAGGAUU